CUGUCAAUCAACCUGCCAAAUUAGAUCCAGAACAUGCACAACUCAAUUGUAGCGUAUCAGUUACAAGGUCUUUGAAAGAACAUGUAAAGAAGAGAGAAGUGAGUAGUAUUGUAUUCCCAGUCCAGAGCUUACAUGAGUUUAAUGAAAACACCAGUUCAUAGCCCUGUAGUGUUCAACAUACCAAUCUGAAUAACGACUUAUCAUAUCCAAACCCUCAUCCCUCCACACUCUAAGGCUGCCAAUCUCUCUCGGCUCACUAUCCAAAGUUCCAAACCACACUUGGACCUCCUCAAUGGGUCAAAUCGACAUAAGAUUUAGCAAACCACACACAGGCGAACUGAAAAUCCAGGAGCUGUGGAAAUAAAUUGGGACGACGGUCUUUAUUAGUAUCAUACCCCUCCUUUUUCUUCACCUGUCCGCGGUCACUUCUUGCCGGACUUCUUCCCGCCGACCAUCGACACACACUCCAUAUGGCGUCAGGACCCGAUUGCCUCUUCUAUCCUUUCUCUGCCACCGUACACUGAGAGCAUAGUUAUUAUUACAACAUCCAUGUAAUUAGUCUAAAGUUGAUUCUGUGACAGUGAACAAAUAACUAAAUAUACAUUACCUACAACAAAUUGAAAAGGUGCACUAAGCUGAAAGGAUGAAAUCAAUUGUUGCACCUCAAUCAAACACGGUGUUGAUAUGGCCACUGAAGCCAUCCUGCAUUCAUUCACGAUGAUCAUGAGAAAAAAACACAUUUCAAUGUUCACAGGUUAAAAAGGCAAAAGAGAAAAUAUGGAGGGGCAAUUAACUCUGACGGCAAAAAGAGCACAUGGCAAACUUGAUCUGAACAAAACAUAAGCAUGUUUGCAAAGAGAUCAAGCUAUGAUUUAACAAAUUAGUAUCACGCAAAAUAUUACUGUCAGAUAUCUUUAUCUACAAAGUGUUGUUUUUCUUAGCAAUCACAUAGAUCACUUCCCUAUAAAGGAAAAAUACAGGUCAAUAUCAACCUUGUCUUCAAACAUUAUGUAGUCAGACUGGAAACUGUGAGCAAAGCUACUAAAUUAGGGCUUAGAAGUAUUCAAAGUAAUCAUAAAAAUACACUUCAACUAUAUGAGAUAGACUGGAGGAGUAGGAUUAAAGAAUAGUACACAAAAAGAACUGCUCUGGACCAAUGUAAUUGGGAAGUUAACUGAUUUGCUAUACUUCUGUUCACAGCAUAAUUGGGUAAAAGGAAAUGAGCACAAGAAGAUUAUAUUGCCAAAUGCUAUCCAAAAUGUGAGAAAUUUAGAUGUUUGGUGAUUAUACAUUGCAUCAUAUCAAGGACAGUGGCAGUCCAAAAUAGAAAAUAUACAAUUAGUAAACAUCAAGCCCAUGCAAAAUAGAACAUAUACAAUGAUUUCCAGGACUCUACCUGAGGCUUGAAUGUUAGUGAGCAAAGAAGAUGUUGCAAAGCUUAAGAGCAUGUUGGACGCAUUUGAGUAAGGUCGCAUCUCUUCUAGUUUCCUUAUACUGGGAGGUUGAUGCCAAUGUCUUCCUUUUCCUAAUGCUCUACUUAGUGCAACUUGUUAUGUCCAUGUUUAUUUUAGCUUAUGAUGGUUAUCAAAAGGUUAAAAGGCAAGCUACCAUGCACUUCUCACUACAAGUAUCUAGUUGAUUCCUCCCAAUUACGGAUAUCAAAAGUAACGUAAAAUCGUUCACCCAUGUAAAUACUAAUUCUCACAUAAACAAUUACGUCACCGCUGGUUCUUCCCAUCUACAGCAAAGGGACAAGCAGUUGCUGGCUUGCGGCAUGCUGCCUUCUAAUUUCCACCAGCAGAUUUUUUUUUUUGUUACAAUUGAGCAACAAAUCUAAAGAGAACAAACAAAUUCCUCGACACAGAACAGUUCUUGAGGCCCCAGACCAAGAAGCAGGCAUCCACCGAAACAAGCAACAAGCUAGUGUCACACCCGGCCUACUUUUCAAAAGAUAGAAAGAUUAUUUCAACAAAAUGCAAAUUUGCCAUCUUUCAAAAAAACUAUUAGAUUUUAUUUAGAAUCAGUUGGAUUCAUGCCAUUCUUGGAUAUUAUUUGAUGUUUUUGAACUAAAUGCUUUUAUUUGGAGUUUGAAAAUAUUUUGAAACCUAAAAUUUGAUGAACAAGAAACCUCAUGAAUCCAAUCAUAAAUCUAUCUCAUCGAUCUUUUCUUAAUAUGAGCAAUCAAAUAGGGAACCAAAAACCCGAAAGCCCUACUGAUCAAAACCCCAAUUUUCACUCUUGUUCAAACUUCUUUUUUCAUCUUUAAUACCAAUAAAAUGCAAAACCAUUUUACUUAGUUAUGAGAAAAUUCAGGGUGGAGCAUAUUUACUAUAAUUUUCAUUUGUGAUCAAAAAUAUCAUUUAAUAAAUAUAUAAACAAAUUAUUUUCCCACUUUUUCAAAAUCAGCGAAAACAAUUUAUCAUUUUGUGUAAAAAAUUUCUUUAAAAAAAAUUCCCACACAAUUACCUUAUAUUAUUAUUUCUGGAAAUUUUCUAAAAUAAAGUUUUUCAACUUCAGUUCGAAAGUUCAGAAGAGCUUCAAUUUCAAAUUUCUGUCCAGAUUUGUAUUUCCAAAGAUUUUCAAACUUUUCGAACUCAGAAAAAUGUGACACUACCACCACUAGAACCAUGCCGACACGCUGAAUCCAAAUAUGCAAAAAUAUGAAACUGCACACUUCAAAAUUUGAGAGCAGGUUCAAAUUUGAAUCUCAGCCUGUUUUGCAAAUCUGACGAAAACUAACUCUACACUCAACCAUUUACGCUGAAAUUUUACCAGCACCUGGCCCUUACCUAUUUACACUCGGAUAAGCAGGAAUUUACCAUGGUACAGUUGAAAACUUGAGCAAAAGGACCAAGAGUCCAAGAACAGAAUCUGGCAAGAACUCGCUCUCCUCGUCUCUCACUCAAAUUCUCUUGUCCACCCAAUUAUAGCCCUUCUCCUGCAUCCCCUGACCCUGUAUAGUGGUCCCUGGACCCAUUUGACACCCCCUCACUUUCCCCAUCUUCCUCCCUUGGCCGUGUGGCCAUUGCCGGCGCUCCCGGCGUGUCCAGAGCACGCCCAGGGCAUGCACGCCGGCACCCAUCCCUCUCUCCCUCAUCCUGCAACCUUUCUGCCGCGACAUAAUGCCUCUUAUGCGCUUCUUGAUGCCUUUGUCGGUUGACUUUGCGCCGCUCGCCGUUGCCGGCGCCACGUCGCGGCCAGCAUGCCACACCCGAGCCUCAUCCCUCUGCUCGCCAGCGCUAAAGCUCCUCGUUCCUAGGAACGCUCAGAGCCAUGAUAUAGCCACAGAACGCUCCCCAUCUUCUCCCCCUCGCGCUCUUACCCGCCGUCGAGCACCUCGCCGACACUCCGGCCCUGCGUAAUGAAACCGACCUCCCGGCUCGCCUCUUCCACUCUCUGAGCAUCCAGGCGCCCCAAAGAAGCCCGCCUGACUAACGUGCAACGUGCUGCGCCCCCGGUUUCCAUGCUCGCCCAUACCGCGCUGGCGCGCUCGCCGUGGACACGGUCCAUCGUGCACAGCCUCGGGGCUACAUAAAGCCGCCCCUGGCUUCUCCUAGACCCCGAACCACAUCCUAUUCCUCCUAAUCCCACCCUAGAGAAGUAGCUAAGCCGGCCGAGCCUUUCUUCUCCAUCUCCGGCGAGGUGAGUUGCCUCGGCCUCGACGAAGAUGCCUAGGGCCUCCGCCCUACUUCCAAUUAUUACUCCUAUCCCUAGCACCAAACUGACCUGGAGAACCUUUAACCACUCUUUAUUUCUGUCCAGGAGCUCUCUGGAGGCCCGGCGACGAGCUCCUCCGCCGCAGCCA
rnacentral:lncRNA from 1 species